UGCGUAGGCGGGCUAAUCAGUCAGUGGUGAAAUCUUCCGGCUCAACCGGGAACCUGCCAUUGAUACUGUUAGUCUUGAGUUCGGUUGAGGUAGGCGGAAUGUGUAAUGUAGCGGUGAAAUGCUUAGAUAUUACACAGAACACCAAUUGCGUAGGCAGCUUACUAGACCGACACUGACGCUGAGGCACGAAAGCGUGGGGAGCGAACAGGAUUAGAUACCCUGGUAGUCC
rnacentral:rRNA from 1 species